rnacentral:lncRNA from 1 species
AGGUGUGUACGGUGCCAGCGACUGCUUCAGAGAAUCUUCCUCCAAAGGAGGGUCACCACCAUACAGGAAGUGUUCAGGCUCUCUCAGUAAAUCUUCAUCGAUAUUCUGGCCCAUUACAUCAUAUUCAAAAUCACCCCACGAGGCUUCAGAUGAGCAGAUAUCUUGCUUCCCUAGGUCCCCAUCAACUGGCGUUUCCGGAUGGCCUUCGGAUAAUGUCAGUUUACUCAUGUCAUCUAUUGUUCCCGUGGAUGUGUUGAGACCUGAGGCAUCGCUGAAACUGUGGUCAAAGGCAGCUUCGCUUAUAUCCAGACAAGUGUCUGAGGCUAGCAAAGCAUCAGGAACCAAGGCAGGAUUCUCUGUGGAUAAAUGUGGAUCACCAUCAAACAAAGCUCUUGCACCAGGCUGACUUUCAGGAGAAAAGCUGUCUGAUAUCCAAGAACCGUCACCUUCUGGAGUUGGCUCUUGUUCUGGAAGACGGAAAGUCCAAGAUCAAGAUCCUGACAUACUCGCUGUCUGAUGAGCACCUGCCUCCUGAUUCAUAGGCUGCCAUCUUUUUGCUGUGUCCUCACGUGACAGAAAAGCCUUCUCCAUCUCCUACACACUCUGAAAUAAUCUGUCAGAAGAUCCUCAUCCUGCCGUGCUGGCUUACUCUGGAUCAAGAGACAAAGACUCCAGCUCUAUCUCUGAUGGACCGAGUAGGAAGAAUCAGCAUGAGUCAACCCACCAGGUUUCCCAGAGCUUAAUCCAGAAGGGACCCAAACACUAGGGCUGCUGGAGCUACCUUCACCAAUACAGGGGUAAUCAUAGUACCUUUUACUGGGAGGAUUAAGUGAGAUAAUGCUUACUCAACUGCCAGGUACACGGGGAAAUUUGAACACAGAGACAUGCAUAGAGGGAA